GGGCCCGCACAAGCAGCGGAGCGUGUGGUUUAAUUCGAUGUUACACGAAGAACCUUACCAGGGUUUGACAUGCAAGUGGUGGGAAGCCGAAAGGUGACCGACCCUUCGGGAGCUUGCACAGGUGCUGCAUGGCUGUCGUCAGCUCGUGUCGUGAGAUGUUCGGUUAAGUCCGCUAACGAGCGCAACCCUCGCUGUGUGUUAUAUGUGUCACACGGGACUGCCGGUCUUAAGCCGGAGGAAGGUGAGGAUGAUGUCAAGUCAGCAUGACCUUUAUAUCCAGGGCUACACACACGCUACAAUGGUCUGUACAAUGGGUAGCCAAGCCGCGAGGCGGAGCCAAUCCUGAAAGCAGGCCUCAGUUCAGAUUGCAGUCUGCAACUCGACUGCAUGAAGCCGGAGUUGCUAGUAACCGCAGGUCAGCAAUACUGCGGUGAAUACGUUCCCGGGUCUU
rnacentral:rRNA from 1 species